rnacentral:tRNA from 5 species
GCCGGAAUAGCUCAGUUGGUAGAGCAGGGGACUGAAAAUCCUCGUGUCACCAGUUCAAA